UUUACAAAGCACUCCAAGAGGAUGAACACCGUCUUCAAUGUGCCUCACGAAGACGAAUAACCUAGCUAACCCUAACAUGUUUUCAUUGUGCCUCACGAAGAACCACUAACCACGAAGAAGAACCCCUAACCGCGACGAAGAGCCCCUAACAGCACUCUGUGAAGAACGUCGCCGGUCGCCGGCGCUCGCAAUGCCUCCGUUGAAGAACCCCUAACCGCGACGAAGAACCCCUAACCCUCCUUAAAGUUUCUUCGCUCUUCUCUCGCCACUCUCACCCUCAAGCUCACUGAGUCUCACCUCUCACGGCUGGUCUCGCCGUCGACCUCUCUCUAUCUCUCCGGUAUAUCGCUUCUCUCACGGGCGUUUCAGACUCAAGAUCGUCGCGCUCUGUUUCCAUCACUGCUCUGUCACCGUCGCUGCUCUAUCGCGCUCUGUCGCAAGCGAAUCGAUGGAAUUCGACCCGAUCCCAAUCGGUUCCUGCUCCAAAGAGAACCAGAGCAUCUACCAGCAGUUGUUUAAAUUACGCCGAUUCAGAAUCUCUUUGAUUGCUUCAGGCAUGCUUUGCCCUUUUAUCAUCUUCUUCCAAUAUUCUCCCACCAACUGGCAGGUGAUGCAUGGUUUCUAAAUACUCCUGAAAAAUCAUUGAGCUUCAUCCUUGCAGAUCAAGGUUUUGAUGUAUGGGUAGGAAAUGUGUGUGGAACACGUUGGAGCCAUGGUCAUAGGUCUUAUUCAGUGAAGAAUAAGAAAUUCUGGGAUUGGAGCUGGCAGGAAUUAGCCCUGUAUGAUAUGGUAGAAAUGAUCAAUUACAUAUAUUCAGUAACAAAUUCAAAGCUAUUCAUAGUUGGGCAUUCACAGAUGACUACUGGUUUUAUUCAAAUGGUUUUUACCAUGGGUAUUCAUCAACUGAACUUCAAAAGGGUGUAGAAGCAAACUGAGGCAGAUAAGGUGCACUUCUUUCUGAAAGAUUAGAAAGAUUAUGAAAGAUGAAACCAGGGUUUGUUUAAGAUUAUGAAAGAUGCCUAUUGUAUACUUUUUUAAGUUGUAGGAACUCCGAAUGUAUUAAAAGUGUUGAUGCUUUAUUGUUUCACAAUAGCUUAAACGUACCCACAUUCACAGGAAGGUUUCUGGCUGAAGUAACAAAGCAAGUUUUAACUGAUCUUGAAGCUAGCAAAUAUCAGAUGGCUGAGUACAGGAUCUCUGUUUAUGGAAGAAAACAGAGUGAAUGAGACCAGCUGGCAAGUUGGUUUGUUAACAAUGCUAUUUAUAGCAAGAAUGCUGUAUGGCUAAUCCAUGUGUGUUAUUCUGUCUUGAGGAAGCCCUUCAUUCACUUGAAAUUUCUCUGAACCAGAUUAUAUGUUAUACCUGGUCUGGUAGUGAUACAUUGAAACUAAAAAGCAUAAGAGCUGGCCUCAAAAAACUGAAUUUGGUAGAAGAUAGAGCUAUUGCAAGGGUGAACCAUUUUGGUGUCUAUGUGAGAUAUUUCUUCAAUCUUCCUGCACCAAUAGAUCAAAUUCCUACAAAUAUGUCUCCUGUGAAAAUCGUACCCACUAGCAUGGCCAAAGAAUUCGUUGGCGUAAAUGUAUGAUGGAAAUGAUAUGACAUUUGGGAUAUCAUCAAGAAUGGCUGGCCUUGUUUUAAUCACUCUCUGUGUAUUUAUGUAAAAAUUUCACAAUGAAAUUUUGAUAAAUAAGUUGGCACUAUUGUCUUUGUUCUUGAUACAUUGUAAAAACCAAAAAAUUUCAAUGAAAAUUUGAUAAUUAACUUGGUACUA